CACUUCCCCUCUUCGUUGCAGCUGGAGAGUUUCCAGUACUCUACCAGUCUCGGCUAUGGGAAGGAAAGUCAAGCAGAGGCAUACCCAUUCCAUUCCUAGCUUGGCCAGUGACUAGCAAGUGGAAGGCAAUCUGCUACAAGU